CUUGAUCGAACCCAGCAGGAGCGGCUCGGCGCGGCCCUGCCCGUACGUGGCCAACAACGCCUGCGCCUC
rnacentral:antisense_RNA from 1 species